rnacentral:lncRNA from 1 species
UUUGUUUAUUUUAUUAAUUAAAUAAUUAUUUUUUGAAAAAAAAAACUGUUUUUAACCUGUUCAGCCGGUCAUUUUUCUUCUUUGGAGGUUUUUUAUGAUAAAAAUGUCACUUUGAAGGUUAAAAGUGUUAGUGAAAAAAGUUCAAGGUUUAAAGUGCUAGUAAGUGACACUUUCAAGGUUUUUUAUGCGAUUUUCCCUUU